UUAGUCAGGCAACGAGCGAGACCCGUGCCCACUGUUACCAGCAUGUCCUCCGGGAUGAUGGGUACUCUGUGGGGACCGCCGGUGUUAAAUCGGAGGAAGGUGCGGGCCACGGUAGGUCAGUAUGCCCCGAAUUUCCCGGGCUACACGCGGGCUACAAUGAAUGGGACAAUGGGUCCCUCCCCUGAAAAGGGCUGGUAAUCUCACAAACCCAUCCGUAGUUCGGAUCGAGGGCUGUAACUCGCCCUCGUGAAGCUGGAAUCCGUAGUAAUCGCGUUUCAAUAUAGCGCGGUGAAUACGUCCCUGCUCCUUGCACA
rnacentral:rRNA from 1 species